rnacentral:tRNA from 1 species
GGGGUUGUAGCUCAGAGGUAGAGUGCUUGCCUACCACGUGUGAGGCACUGGGUUAAAUCCUCAGCUCCA